rnacentral:rRNA from 1 species
AAUGGAGGAGACUCUGAUCCAGCAAUUCUGUGUGCACGAAGAAGGUUUUCGGAUUGUAAAGUGCUUUCAGCAGGGAAGAAGGAAGUGACGGUACCUGCAGAAGAAGCGACGGCUAAAUACGUGCCAGCAGCCGCGGUAAUACGUAUGUCGCGAGCGUUAUCCGGAAUUAUUGGGCAUAAAGGGCAUCUAGGCGGUAUAUCAAGUCAGGGGUGAAAACUUACGGCUCAACCGUGAGCUUGCCUUUGAAACUGAGAUACUGGAGUACCGGAGAGGUGGGCGGAACUACACGAGUAGAGGUGAAAUUCGUAGAUAUGUGUAGGAAUGCCGAUGAUGAAGAUAGCUCACUGGACGGCAACUGACGCUGAAGUGCGAAAGCUAGGGGAGCGAA